rnacentral:sRNA from 1 species
CAUUACGACAUGCCGAAUUUCCUAUCCAGUAGGAAAACGGGGGAACCAUUUCUGGGGUGAAUCCGCGUUAUGCGGUAGGGAUUUCCCUUUGUCCCGAACCCGUCAGCUAACCUCGUAGGCAUUUAGAAAGGGGUGUU